UACGUAGGGUGCAAGCGUUGUCCGGAAUUAUUGGGCGUAAAGAGCUUGUAGGCGGUUUGUCGCGUCUGCUGUGAAAUUUCGGGGCUCAACCCCCGAACUUGCAGUGGGUACGGGCAGACUAGAGUGUGGUAGGGGAGACUGGAAUUCCUGGUGUAGCGGUGAAAUGCGCAGAUAUCAGGAGGAACACCGGUGGCGAAGGCGGGUCUCUGGGCAGUAACUGACGCUGAGGAGCGAAAGCGUGGGGAGCGAACAGG
rnacentral:rRNA from 1 species